rnacentral:rRNA from 1 species
AACGAACGCUGGCGGCAUGCCUAACACAUGCAAGUCGAACGCUAUCUUUGAUAGAGUGGCGCACGGGUGAGUAACGCGUGGGAACCUGCCUUUCACUGCGGGACAACGAUUGGAAACGAUCGCUAAUACCGCAUACGCCCUACGGGGGAAAGAUUUAUCGGUGAUAGAGGGGCCCGCGUCUGAUUAGCUUGUUGGUAGGGUAAUGGCCUACCAAGGCGACGAUCGGUAGCUGGUCUGAGAGGAUGAUCAGCCACACUGGGACUGAGACACGGCCCAGACUCCUACGGGAGGCAGCAGUGGGGAAUAUUGGACAAUGGGGGCAACCCUGAUCCAGCAAUGCCGCGUGUGUGAUGAAGGCCUUAGGGUUGUAAAGCACUUUCACUGGUGAAGAUGAUGACGGUAACCAGAGAAGAAGCCCCGGCUAACUUCG